rnacentral:lncRNA from 1 species
AACGGUCCAAAAUGAUUAGACUGGAAAUAUUCUGACAGUAGCUGUGUGGAUUUAGAGGCGGGGGAAAUUCUGCAGUAAGUCAUUGUUUUGGCAAGCAAGGAAAGGGCAAUCAUUUGACAUUCUGGUCAAUAAUCUUCACUGUGUACUCAAAUUCAUUGUUUUCAUGCCAACAACUGUGUGGAUUUAGAGGAGAUAUGCUCUUGAUUGCAAUGUAAAUAGCUGCUAAAAGAACAUUUCUAUUCUAGCUUAUUUAGUAUGUAUGUAUAUCACUCGUCAAUUUCGAAAAUGGUAUGACAAUGAUUUUUUCUUGUGGAAAUUACAUUACAAGUGGUUAUAUUUUCAAUAUUUUUAAGUUUGCUGAUUUUAUAUGUAGUGGUACAAGUACAGCUAAACAAGUGGGAGUAUUGAAGCAGUUCAUGAUGGGUCUACAAGUACAGCUAAACAAGCUGGGGAACCCACUACUUCGGCUUCAAAUGGAGGAGUAUCUGUUUGUCUUGUCAGCCUUGUUGCACUAAUCUUUUGAUUAAACAAAACAUUGGGUGGUUGGUAGUUGCUACUUUUUCAAUCAAUAUCUGUAGUCACUGUAAUGUUAGGUGGUUGGUAGUUCAUUCAAUUAUUAUAUUGUAAUGUUGUAAUGUGAAUGAUUU